AGCUUUGUGCAGUGGCAGUACCAUAGCCAAUGAGGUUUAUCCGAGGCGCAAUUAUUGCUAAUUGAAAGUAGGUCCUAAAGGACAGGGAUUGCAUCUCGGGGAUGUCCUCCCUCAGGCCUCUUCUGGU
ensembl:snRNA U4 U4 spliceosomal RNA